rnacentral:rRNA from 1 species
UACGUAGGGACCAAGCGUUGUUCGGAUUUACUGGGCGUAAAGGGCGCGUAGGCGGGUAUGUACAAGUCACUUGUGAAAUCUCCGGGCUUAACUCGGAACGGCCAAGUGAAACUGUCAAACUAGAGUGCGGGAAGGGGCAAUCGGAAUUCUGGUGGUAGCGGUGAAAUGCGUAGAUAUCAAGAGGAACACCGGUGGCGGAAAGGCGGGGAUCCUGGCCAGUACGUGACGCUGAGGAGCGAAAAGCGAUGGGGGAGCAAGCAGGGAUAAAGCAU